GUGUUUACCGUAAUGGUAAACUGGUCGAUUUCCACUCGAUUUAUGUCAGUUCAAGUCUGACUGGCCGUA
rnacentral:tRNA from 1 species